AUAAUGAUGUUUUGCUGGGGCAGACAGGAGAAAGGAUGUUUUCCUAAAAUGAGUAAAUUAUAGUCAAGGAAAACUAACAAAGAUUUUCCAUCACAUGUCAGGGUAAAAUGGGGAUUGUGUACUGAAAACAGGAUUGGAACAUUUCACCUUUCUUACACAAAUGAAGGAAACUUGGAACUUUUAAGUCAAUAGGUAAACUAUGUUUUAACAAAAAUACCAUACAAUUGUAUAUGAUUAUCAAAUUUAAUAUUUACUCAAAGGAUAAAGGCUUAGUUUGGGGACAAGUUUAAUGGUGAUAUGCUGAAGAUUAUAAAACAGUGUCACACAAUGAACCUGGAACAAAUAAUCAAUUUGCAUUGGCCAUUAUGAAACAAAAUUAAACCAUUCUUCUCCUUUCUCUAAUAAACCAAGUUCAU